GAUGAACGCUAGCGGCAUGCUUAACACAUGCAAGUCGAACGAGACAUUUCAUUUCGGUGGUAUGUCUAGUGGCGGACGGGUGAGUAACGCGUAAGAACCUACCUUUAGGAGAGGGAUACCAGCUGGAAACGGUUGCUAAUACCUCGUAUGCUGAGAAGUGAAAGGUGAUGCCAAAGGCAAACACCGCCUAGAGAGGGGCUUGCGUCUGAUUAGCUUGUUGGUGAGGUAAAGGCUUACCAAGGCUAUGAUCAGUAGCUGGUCUGAGAGGACAAACAGC
rnacentral:rRNA from 1 species